rnacentral:rRNA from 1 species
GCGAAAGCUAGUUGUAUUAACUAUUAGUUAAUGCAAGAUCGACUACGUCGACUAAAGUUCUAGGUAGAAUAAUGAUGAUGACAAUUUUUUACCUAUAUGUCUUGACCAAGUCUCGUGCCAGCAGUCGCGGAAAUACGUGGAAGACUAGUGUUAUUCAUCUUUAAUAGGUUUAAAGGGUACCUAGACGGUAUUUCUAGCCCAAAAUAGGGUACGGAUUUACUAGAGUUUUAUGUGAGGAGGGGAGUACUCGUGGAGUAGAGAUGAAAUUUUGUGAUACUAUGAGGAAACUGGUGGCGGCGAAAGCAACCUUCUAUGUAUAAACUGACGUUGAGGGACGAAGGCUUGGGUAGCAAAUAGGAUUAGAUACCCUAGUAGUCCAAGCAGACAAUUCUGAAUGCCAUAGAUUAGAUUAUUUUUGGUCUAUAAAUGAAAGUGUAAGCAUUCCACCUUAGGAGUAAUGUGGCAACACAGGAACUGAAAUCAUUAGACCGUUUCUGAAACCAGUAGUGAAGUAUGUUAUUUAAUUUGAUGGUCCACAAAAAACCUUACCACAACUUGAAUAUUAUUAAAUUAAUACAAGCGUUGCACGGCUGUCUUCAGUUAAUGUCGUGAGAUUUUGGUUAACUCCAUUAAUUAACGUAAACCCUUACU